rnacentral:rRNA from 1 species
GAUCAUUAGUGAAAGUUUCGGGCCUGCCAUACGGACGCAAACACGUCUCUGGCGCCCAUCACUAUAUCCAUACCAACCCCUGUGCACUGUGAUGACGAAUGUCAUCGAACAAAAAAACUCGUAUGGUUGAAUGUACGUGAAAUUGUAGGUAUAGCCUACGAACUAUACACAACUUUCGACAACGGAUCUCUUGGUUCUCGCAUCGAUGAAGAACGCAGCGAAACGCGAUAGGUAAUGUGAAUUGCAGAAUUCCGUGAAUCAUCGAAUCUUUGAACGCACCUUGCGCUCCAUGGUAUUCCGUGGAGCAUGCCUGUUUGAGUGCCGCGAAUUCUCCCUCCCCUUACGGUGGCCGAAAGGCCGAAGUAGGGCGGACGGGGUAGGAUGGGUGUUGCUGCCUGGGGAUUGUACCAGGCUCGCCCGAAAUGCAUAAGCGCCAGGACCCUCGCUACCGCUCUCUAGGGAAGAGUGGCUAAGCGACCGCUGAGCAUGGCAUGAUACGUCAUUUGCUGUGUGUGGGCGGCCGGUUGGAGAGGUGUCUGCUUUAACAGCCCUUUUUAAUUCUGGUCUCAAAUCAGGUAGGAUCACCCGCUGAACUUAAGCAUAUCAAUAAGCGGAGGA